CUUUAUUUUUGUCACUUAUCUGCUUGAUAUUGUAUUGAUAUCGCAAGGAGAAAUUCUGUCUUGGUCACUUAUGGGAGUUAAAGGGUUAACGUACUGCCUAGUCGUAGUGGUGAAGCAAACACGAGUAAAUGAUGUUGCACGGGUCUCCAGCUUAUUUAUCUUAUAGCAUUCAAAUAGAUACACUCCACUCUAGUCCGCCUCUCCCCUCCCCUGGUGCCUUACCCACUGGUCAUGUUGAACCUGUUUUGCGUGGUCACGUGUCGGUGGUUGAUCACUUGAUGUUCCCAUGCGGUGUUCAGCUUUUGUUUGUUUCACCAUUGGAAACCUUGUACUUUUUAUCUUGCUUUGGUAAGUUGAUGCAGGUAACUUGUUUUGUUAACACUUGUGUCCCAGUACAGGCAGCACAGCUGAAGGAAGCGAUGAGGUAUGUAUGGUUUUCGUUUCCUUGAGGUACCAUUGAGAUCUUCUAGAGAGUUCUUGUCAUAAUUUUUGUACUUUUCUAUUUGCUUUUUGUAAUAAAAUUCAGUUUCUUUUUGA